rnacentral:misc_RNA from 1 species
UAGGAACAAAAGGAUUAUAGGAGACUGUGCAAACAGCACUGUCAUGUGCAUGGAGCGUAAAACUUGGCUUUGAAUCGGAUGAUGAAUCAGACUUCACAGCCCGGAUAUCAAAACCUUGGACAGUACCAUCUUCAAGACUCACCACAAAUGAGUGAUUACUGUGGGGAUCCCAUGCCAAGCUUUCAACGUCAGCUGUAACUGACCACCUAAAACCAGGAUGUGUGGGAAUCCUCCCAUCCUUCAUGACUACUGAAUGAUCAAAAGAUCCACUGAGAAGAACUUGUGGUUCAUGAUGAUUCCAUGCAACCGCUUGAACCUUGUCUGUAUGAUGCUCCAAGGUAAUAUCACACUUUCCAGUAGCCACAUCCCAAAUUUUGACUUGUCUGUCAGCACUAGCACUGGCAAUAAUAUUCCUG